rnacentral:rRNA from 1 species
GACGAACGCUGGCGGCGUGCUUAACACAUGCAAGUCGAACGGUGAGGCCCUUCGGGGUACACGAGUGGCGAACGGGUGAGUAACACGUGGGUGAUCUGCCCUGCACUUCGGGAUAAGCCUGGGAAACUGGGUCUAAUACCGGAUAGGACCACUGCCUGCAUGGGUGGGGGUGGAAAGCUUUUGCGGUGUGGGAUGGGCCCGCGGCCUAUCAGCUUGUUGGUGGGGUGAUGGCCUACCAAGGCGACAACGGGUAGCCGGCCUGAGAGGGUGACCGGCCACACUGGGACUGAGGUCCGGCCCAGGGUCCUAAGGGAGGCAGCAGUGGGGAAUAGUGCACAAUGGGCGCAAGCCUGAUGCAGCGACGCCGCGUGAGGGAUGACGGCCUUCGGGUUGUAAACCUCUUUCAGCACCGACGAAGCGCAAGUGACGGUAGGUGCAGAAGAAGGACCGGCCAACUACGUGCCAGCAGCCGCCGUAA